ensembl:lncRNA
CGAAAUAUGAUUGUUUACAUUAAAAUGCAAAAGUUGAUGAAAAAGUAUGAUAAGGUGAAAAAAGUGACAUUUUAUGUCUAGACAGUCACUUUUCAUCAAAAGUGCAAUAACAAAACUAGUUCCCAUUCAUCCUGUGUCUCCAUGCACACUUGUGCUCUUUAUCCGCUCAAAACGCUAUACAGCGAACGAGAAGGCGCUAGGAGCAAAGGAAAGUGGUUUUUCUAACAAACUCGUAUAAUCAGUUGAACGACCUACUCCAAUUUGAUUCUUUUCACAUAUUUAGACAUAAUAUAGUACUAUGAAAUGUUUCUGACCCAAAAUAUUACGAAAUAUGAUUGUUUACAUUAAAAUGUAAAAGUUGAUGAAAACGUAUGAUAAGGUGAAAAAAGUGACAUUUUAUGUCUAGAAAGUCACUUUUCAUCAAAAGUGCAAUAACAAAACUUGUUCCCAUUCAUCCUGUGUCUCCAUGCACACUUGUGCUCCUUAUCCGCUCAAAACGCUAUACAGCGAACGAGAAGGCGCUAGGAGCAAAGGAAAGUGGUUUUUCUAACAAACUCGUAUAAUCAGUUGACCGACCUACUCCAAUUUGAUUCUUUUCACAUAUUUAGACAUAGUAUAGUACUAUGAAAUGUUUCUGACCCAAAAUAUUACGAAAUAUGAUUGUUUACAUUAAAAUGCAAAAGUUGAUGAAAAAGUAUGAUAAGGUGAAAAAAGUGACAUUUUAUGUCUAGAAAGUCACUUUUCAUCAAAAGUGCAAUAACAAAACUUGUUCCCAUUCAUCCUGUGUCUCCAUGCACACUUGUGCUCUUUAUCCGCUCAAAACGCUAUACAGUGAACGAGAAGGCGCUAGGACCAAGGAAAGUGGUUUUUCGAACAAACUCAUAUAAUCAGUUGCCCGACCUACUCCAAUUUGAUUCUUUUCACAUAUUUAGACAUAAUAUAGUACUAUGAAAUGUUUCUGACCCAAAAUAUUACGAAAUAUGAUUGUUUACAUUAAAAUGCAAAAGUUGAUGAAAAAGUAUGAUAAGGUGAAAAAAGUGACAUUUUAUGUCUAGAAAGUCAGUUUUCAUCAAAAGUACAAUAACAAAACUAGUUCCCAUUCAUCCUGUGUCCCCUUACACACUUGUGCUCUUUAUCCGCUCAAAACGCUAUACAGCGAACGAGAAGGCGCUAGGAGCAAAGGAAAGUGGUUUUUCUAACAACCUCGUAUAAUCAGUUGCCCGACCUACUCCAAUUUGAUUCUUUUCACAUAUUUAGACAUAAUAUAGUACUAUGAAAUGUUUCUGACACAAAAUAUUACGAUAUAUGAUAGUUUACAUUAAAUGUAAAAGUUGAUGAAAAAGUAUGAUAAG